UAGGGAAUCUUCNNNAAUGGACGCAAGUCUGACGGAGCAACGCCGCGUGAGUGAAGAAGGUUUUCGGAUCGUAAAACUCUGUUGUUAGAGAAGAACAAGUGCUAGGGUAACUGUUAGCGCCUUGACGGUAUCUAACCAGAAAGCCACGGCUAACUACGUGCCAGCAGCCGCGGUAAUACGUAGGUGGCAAGCGUUGUCCGGAUUUAUUGGGCGUAAAGCGAGCGCAGGCGGUUCCUUAAGUCUGAUGUGAAAGCCCCCGGCUCAACCGGGGAGGGUCAUUGGAAACUGGGGAACUUGAGUGCAGAAGAGGAGAGUGGAAUUCCAUGUGUAGCGGUGAAAUGCGUAGAUAUAUGGAGGAACACCAGUGGCGAAGGCGACUCUCUGGUCUGUAACUGACGCUGAGGCUCGAAAGCGUGGGUAGCAAACAGGAUUAGAUACCCUGGUAGUCCACGCCGUAAACGAUGAGUGCUAAGUGUUGGAGGGUUUCCGCCCUUCAGUGCUGCAGUUAACGCAUUAAGCACUCCGCCUGGGGAGUACGACCGCAAGGUUG
rnacentral:rRNA from 1 species